rnacentral:rRNA from 1 species
AAUGGGCGCAAGCCUGAUGCAGCCAUGCUGCGUGUGUGAUGAAGGCCUUAGGGUUGUAAAACACUUUCAUCGGUGAAGAUAAUGACGGUAGCCGAAGAAGAAGCCCCGGCUAACUCCGUGCCAGCAGCCGCGGUAAUACGGAGGGGGCAAGCGUUGUUCGGAAUUACUGGGCGUAAAGCGCACGUAGGCGGACUGGUCAGUUGGGGGUGAAAUCCCGAGGCUUAACCUCGGAACUGCCUUCAAUACUGCCAGUCUUGAGAUCGGAAGAGGUGAGUGGAAUUCCUAGUGUAGAGGUGAAAUUCGUAGAUAUUAGGAAGAACACCAGUGGCGAAGGCGGCUCACUGGUCCGAUACUGACGCUGAGGUGCGAAAGCGUGGGGAGCGAACAGGAUU